UACGUAGGGUGCAAGCGUUGUCCGGAAUUAUUGGGCGUAAAGAGCUCGUAGGCGGUGUGUCGCGUCGGCCGUGAAAACCUGGGGCUUAACUCUGGGCGUGCGGUCGAUACGGGCAUCACUAGAGUUCGGCAGGGGAGACUGGAAUUCCUGGUGUAGCGGUGAAAUGCGCAGAUAUCAGGAGGAACACCGGUGGCGAAGGCGGCAUCCUGGACCAACACUGACACUGAGGAGCGAAAGCCAGGGGAGCAAACGGG
rnacentral:rRNA from 1 species